UGAUCGACGAGUUAUCAGACGCCAGGUGGAUGGUUCAAAAUCCGGUUUACCGUAGAUUAUCCCAGAGCACGGACACUGCCAAUAAUAGCAGCAUCAAAUUCGACCUGGACCGUUUUGUGGCAGAAGUCCCACUCAAGACAGCAUAAAAAGGCCUUCAUCAGAGGGCCUUUUAUUUGCAGGCUCAAAUAGGCACUGCACUCCACGCGACGUUCUCAUCGCUCAGCACCCCAGCUACCUGCACGCUUUCCGUCAGCCGGUCAAAUUCUGGGAGGAAGGUCCUACACGAGC
rnacentral:lncRNA from 1 species